rnacentral:tRNA from 1 species
AAAAAGAUAAGCUAACUAAGCUUAAAGACUCAUAAUCUUUACAUAGARAUYWUGACAUCUCGUAUGC